rnacentral:rRNA from 1 species
AGCUCCAAUAGCGUAUAUUAAAGUUGUUGCGGUUAAAAAGCUCGUAGUUGGAUCUGCGACCUUAGAGAGCGGUCCCCCACAGGGUGCGUACUGCUGCUCAGGGUCUUAUUUGUCAGUUUGUCUGUGGUGCCUUUAAACGGGUGUCACAGGUGGCUGACGCGUUUACUUUGAAAAAAUUAGAGUGCUCAAAGCAGGCGCUGUCGCCUGAAUAGUGGUGCAUGGAAUAAUGGAAUAGGAUCUCGGUUCUAUUUUGUUGGUUUUCGGAGCGCGAGAUAAUGAUUAAGAGGGACAGACGGGGGCAUUUGUAUUGCUGCGUUAGAGGUGAAAUUCUUGGAUCGCAGCAAGACAAACAACUGCGAAGGCAUUUGCCAAGAAUGUUUUCAUUAAUCAAGAACGAAAG